CAAAUAAAACACAUAUUUUUGGGCAAAUUUAUCUAGGGGUUGCUGUACACAGUCUCAUGUUAUGGUUAUCCGAUUGUUGUUUUGAAGAGAAAUAGUUGCAAGAAAGCUCCCAUUGCUAUAGUCUCAAUUUCCAUUGUCAUCCGAUUCAAGAACAUUUCGAUUGCUACCUUCUCAAUUGAGGAGAAACUAAUAAAUAAUUUUAUAUUUAAAGGGAGUUGAAAUCUCCACAUAUAUACGUGAUGCGAGUAAUGCACAAGCUAUAAGAGGAAAAAUUCUUUCAAAUUCUUUCGGCCCAACUUAUGCUUCGGUUCAUGAAAAGGAACAAUGCGGGUGAUCAAAUUUGAAUGGUGGCCACCACAACUUAACUUGAUCUAGAUUGAAGUGAAUGAUGAUAAAUUUUUGAAAUAUUCUGAUAUACGUUUAAAUACAUUUGAUUUUGUGCCGAACUUAGUACAAAUAUUUAAAAUGUCGUUUUCUAAUUAGUAUGGAAAAUGCAUAUUUUUCUGAA